CAGCAGCAAAGGUGUGGUAAGAUGUGCCACAAAACUCUAGAUGGAUGACAUUCCAAUGAUCAAAGUUGGAUAACAAUAAAAGCUGAAACUAAAAGCAUAUGUAACAAUAGAAAUUCACGUGAGCAGAAUCAGUUUCUUUUCAAAGGAACAUUAAACUGAGCUCACUGAUCCUUUCAUAUCAUUACAGCAGAGCUUCUCUCCAACACUGGGUCAUCUAGGGCUAUCAGGUUUUCUUCAACAACAGCAGAGUCUUUACAAACGUUGAGUGCAGACAUGUCUGCUGCCAGCUGUCUUCUAUCUGAAGAUCAGUUUCUGUGCU